rnacentral:rRNA from 1 species
AUUAGCCAUGUUAGUUGUGCGUUCCUUGGCUACAGGGGACGCAGCAUACGGCUCAGUAACACGUAGUCAACCUGCCCUGGAGACGCGGACAAACCCGGGAAACUGGGGCCUAUCCGCGAUAGAUGACCUCAUCUGGAAGGAGAGGUCGUCCAAAAGGGUGCACGGGUAUGCUCUGUGCAAACCGCUCCAGGAUGGGACUGCGGCCGAUCAGGCUGUUGGCGGGGUAAUGGCCCACCAAACCUGUAACCGGUACGGGCUUUGAGAGAAGGAGCCCGGAGAUGGACACUGAGACAAGGGUCCAGGCCCUACGGGGCGCAUCAGGCGCGAAAACUUCGCAAUGCGCGAAAGCGUGACGAGGCUAGUCCGAGUGCUUCCUGCUAAAGGGAGCUUUUCUCGGCUGUAAAUAGGCCGGGGAAU